CAGUCGCCGCGGUAACACGUAGGUGGCAAGCGUUGUCCGGAAUUAUUGGGCGUAAAGGGCUCGCAGGCGGUUUCUUAAGUCUGAUGUGAAAGCCCCCGGCUCAACCGGGGAGGGUCAUUGGAAACUGGGAAACUUGAGUGCAGAAGAGGAGAGUGGAAUUCCACGUGUAGCGGUGAAAUGCGUAGAGAUGUGGAGGAACACCAGUGGCGAAGGCGACUCCCUGGUCUGUAACUGACGCUGAGGAGCGAAAGCGUGGGGAGCGAACAGGAUUAGAUACCCCUGUAGUCCCUGUCUCUUAUAC
rnacentral:rRNA from 1 species